CUACGGGAGGCAGCAGCAGGGAAUCUUGCGCAAUGGGCGAAAGCCUGACGCAGCAACGCGCGUGGGGGAAGAAGGCCUUCGGGUUGUAAACCCCUUUCAGGAGGGAAGAAAAUGACGGUACCUCCAGAAGAAGCACCGGCCAACUACGUGCCAGCAGCCGCGGUAAUACGUAGGGUGCGAGCGUUAUCCGGAAUCAUUGGGCGUAAAGAGCUCGUAGGCGGUUCAACAAGUCGGCUGUGAAAGUCCGGGGCUCAACCCCGGAAUUGCAGUCGAUACUGUUGUGACUUGAGUCCGGUAGAGGAGAAUGGAAUUCCCGGUGUAGCGGUGGAAUGCGCAGAUAUCGGGAGGAACACCAGUAGCGAAGGCGGUUCUCUGGGCCGGCACUGACGCUGAGGAGCGAAAGCGUGGGGAGCAAACAGGAUUAGAUACCCUGGUAGUCCACGCCGUAAACGUUGGAUACUAGGUGUGGCGGUCUACCAACGACUGCCGUGCCGAAGCUAACGCAUUAAGUNC
rnacentral:rRNA from 1 species